rnacentral:lncRNA from 1 species
CCUCCUUCCCCCACCCCCGGAACUGUUCAAUAUCUUGGCUGUGAUGGUGGUUCCACGACUGUAUGCAUUUGUCAAAACUCAAAGAACUGUACACCAAAAAAGAAUUUUUCAGUGUGUAAAACAUCAAUUUUAAAAAUGAUAAUAAACCACCCCUUUGCCAGGCCCAUCUCCUGCUGCGUCCCUCCUCCCCUGACUCUCCAGGGGCUGCCCCCACAGGAGUCCGUGCCCUCAACUGCCGGGUAGGAGCAGAUGUCCGGAGAAAGGCCAGGCGGCACGGGGGGUGUACCAUCAGCGGACACCUCCUCAACUCCCCUUCUGUGCUCAGAAAGUCCGAGAACAUCUGAAGAAUCUUCUCCAGCCCACCUCCACGUACCAUGUGCUGAGCCAGGCAGCUUGUAAAUAUUACCCCUUCUCAGCCUGAUAAGGUAGGUGUUAUUAACUCCAUUCUAAAGUGAGGAUGCUGAUAUCAGAGAGGGUGGCAGAGCGUGUAAGCUUUAGAGCCUAUUUGCCUCCAGUGGCGAGGCAUCUCCCCUCCAGGAGAGUAGGGGCAUUAUAGUUGGUGGAUGGUACUGGGGAGCUUAAGAGUAUUGGGGAGCACAGGAAACGGAAUCUUAUUAAAUGAGUGUUUGCCAAAUCUGGGCACGUGUUGGGGAAUGACAUGAAUGAAGAGGAAGAGGAAGAGCCGAGAGAGUAAGAAGUAAUUCACCAAAAUCCUAAAAUAUUAGUAACAGCACAGCGAUUGAGCACUCACUAUGUGCUAGGGACGCUGGUAAGAAUUUUACAUACCUUGUCUCCUGUGAGCCUCAUUACCCCAUGCGGGAGGCUCAACAGUUAGCCCUGAGCUACCUGGGAGGACACAGGCUCGGAGAAGUUACCUGGUGUGUUAAUCUGCUCGGGCUGCCAUAGCAGAAUACCACAGUCUGGGGGGUUUAACAACAGAAACUUAUUUUCUCACAGUUCUGGAGGCUGGAAGUCAAAGAUCAAAGUGGCAGCAGGGUUGGUUCCUGGUCGGCCUCUCCUCCGGCUUGCAGACAGCGCCUUCUCACUGUGUCCUCACACGGCCUUUCCUCUGUGUGCGCGUGGAGAGAGCAAGCUCUGGUGUCUCUUCUUCUUCUCAGGAUACUAGUCCUAUCAGCUUAGGGCCCCACCCUGAUGUCCUCACUUAACCUUUUUUUUUUUUUCCCAGGAGGAUUAGCCCUGAGCUAACAUUUGCCAAUCCUCCUCUUUUUUCUGAGGAAGACUGGCCCUGAGCUAACAUCCGCCAA